GACCAUAUUCUCCUGAUCACAGUGUUUGGUCCCUGAAAAGUGACAAAUCAAUGAAAAUACCAAUUCAGUUAAAGAAUGGAGUUUUUGCAUCUGAUCAAAGUUCUGAGGAAAGAUCACAUUACCCUGAUCUGAGUGUUUUGUCAAUGAAAAGUGAUAAAUCAAUGAAAAUACCAAUUCAGUUAAAGGAUGGAGAUUUUGUAUCUGAUCAAAGUUCUAAGACAAGACCAUAUUCUCCUGAUCCCAGUGUUUGGUCCCU